rnacentral:rRNA from 1 species
CAGCCGCCACGGUAAUACGUAGGGUGCAAGCGUUAAUCGGAUUUACUGGGCGUAAAGCGUGCGUAGGCGGCUAUAUAAGACAGAUGUGAAAUCCCUGAGCUUAACCUGGGAAUUGCAUUUGUGACUGUAUAGCUAGAGUAUGGGAGAGGGGGAUAGAAUUCCGCGUGUAGCAGUGAAAUGCGUAGAUAUGCGGAGGAAUACCGAUGGCGAAGGCAGUCACCUGGGCCUAUACUGACGCUGAUGUACGAAAGCAUGGGGAGCAAACAGGAUUAGAUACCCCUGUAGUCCCUGUCUCUUAUAC